rnacentral:rRNA from 1 species
AGUGAACGCUGGCGGUAGGCCUAACACAUGCAAGUCGAACGGCAGCACAGUAAGAGCUUGCUCUUACGGGUGGCGAGUGGCGGACGGGUGAGGAAUACAUCGGACUCUACUUUUUCGUGGGGGAUAACGUAGGGAAACUUACGCUAAUACCGCAUACGACCUACGGGUGAAAGCAGAGGAUCUUCGGACCUUGCGCGAUUGAAUGAGCCGAUGUCGGAUUAGCUAGUUGGCGGGGUAAAGGCCCACCAAGGCGACGAUCCGUAGCUGGUCUGAGAGGAUGAUCAGCCACACUGGAACUGAGACACGGUCCAGACUCCUACGGGAGGCAGCAGUGGGGAAUAUUGGACAAUGGGCGCAAGCCUGAUCCAGCCAUACCGCGUGGGUGAAGAAGGCCUUCGGGUUGUAAAGCCCUUUUGUUGGGAAAGAAAAGCAGCAGGUUAAUACCCCGCUGUUCUGACGGUACCCAAAGAAUAAGCACCGGCUAACUUCGUG